rnacentral:lncRNA from 1 species
UGGGGGGGCAUUCCCGAAACAUGCUGAAGUUCCCAGGCCAGGAAUCCAACCUGAGCCACAGCAGGGACAACACUGGAUCCUUAACCCCCUGAGCCAGCAGGAAGCUCCACCACCAACCUUCUACUCAACACUGAAAAGAUACAAGACCUCGUUUGGGGUUGGGAAGAGCUUCUUUCUACGGAGAUAACACCGUUGCGUAAAGACUGACUUACCAGGGGCCGCCACCUCUGUCGGAGUGAGGAGGCACGAGGGCCUCAGCAGGCUUCAGCCGGGUCUGCAUCCCGAAUGCAGCAUUUGGGAUAUUUGCAGUGAAUACAGAAGGAUCCAUCCCCCAUUCCUGUGAGUUCACGGGCAGACAUCCCCACGCCUGGUCCCCGUCGCCCCACCGUUGAAGGACGUGCCCUGCCACAGAAGGUAAGUUUCUAGAAUGUCCCAAUUCCAAAGUAAGCUAAGCCCUAUCCUCCUGCAGAGCGUAAAUGCAUCGGGCUCUUCGUGUCUUACAGUCCUGCUGGGAAAACCCACUUCAAAUGCUUGAAACCUGGAGUCCCUGGGCACAGAGGUGACCAGGCUCCAUGGCCCCUGAGCCAAGAUCCCUCUGCUCUGCGUGGAUUGGGACAAGCAGGAAAUGUCAUUAGGCCUCCAUGGGAAAACGUUCAGAAAAAGGAGAUGCAAUCCCAUACAAAAUCAGCCCUGCAAAAGCUGCCACCUUCCCGGCCCCUCCCGGAAAUUCUGGGUACAGAUCCUGCUCCCUGUCCACGGCCAGCUGGUGCUGAGACACAAGUGUGAGUGACAGGCGAGCCGAACAGCUGUCCAGCAGACAAGGGCUGGAGUGCGGCUUCAGGGCCCCCAUAAAAGAGGGGCUGGGACUUCGAGUUGAAUGGAAAUUACCAGCAUCCGCAAUUCCUACAGCAAGUCCUGUGGUGGGACUCGUCCUCCUUGGAUGUGGUUCCUGCAGAGCUAGAAAUCCUGUGACAGCUGCGUGCACGGCUGGAGCAGAAGGCCCUGUGUCUGCCUCCAGCCUCACACGACAUUAAUCCAGAGGCCAGUGAGGACUCGGGAGAAGGCCAUCCAUGUGGGGACACUGGCCUGUCGGAGGAGAGUGGACAUCAGAGCCAGGGACCAGCAAGCCCUCCAGCCCUGCUCUC